rnacentral:rRNA from 1 species
GGCGUGCUUAACACAUGCAAGUCGCACGAGAAAUCUUCGGCUUGCCGGAGAGAGUAAAGUGGCGCACGGGUGAGUAGCGCGUAGGUAAUCUAUCUUUAAAUUGGGGAUAACAUUGCGAAAGCGAUGCUAAUACCGGAUAACAUUUUAGAAACUGCGGUUUUUAAGAUCAAAGGGGGCCUCUACAAGUAAGCUUCCGUUUGAAGAUGAGCCUGCGUACCAUUAGCUAGUUGGUGAGGUAAGAGCUCACCAAGGCAUCGAUGGUUAGCUGGUCUGAGAGGAUGAUCAGCCACACUGGAACUGGAACACGGUCCAGACUCCUACGGGAGGCAGCAGUGAGGAAUUUUGCGCAAUGGGGGAAACCCUGACGCAGCAACGCCGCGUGAGUGAAGAAGGCUUUCGGGUCGUAAAGCUCUGUCAAGUGGGAAGAAGAUGUUUAGUGCUAAUACCAUUGAGUAUUGACGGUACCACUGAAGGAAGCACCGGCUAACUCCGUG